CGAGUUCCCGACCAUGGCGGACGUCCUCUCGAAGAUACCGAAGCGCUGCUUCGUGAAAGACACGGGCAAGUCGCUCCUGUACGCCGCGGUGUCCACGGCGAUCACGGUCGGGCUCGGGCUCGCCGCGUACGCGUACCUCCCGAUGACGCUCGCGUUCAUUCCCGCGUGGAUCGCGUACGCGUUCGUCGCGGGCACCGCGGCGACGGGGUGCUGGGUCGUCGCGCACGAGUGCGGCCACGGCGCGUUUUCAGAGAACAAAUUCGUGCAAGACGUCGUGGGAUACGUCCUGCACUCCGCGCUGCUCGUGCCGUACUUCUCGUGGCAGC
rnacentral:lncRNA from 1 species